AUCAUCGAUCCAUUGAUGAAUAUAUAGUUUUUCUACACGAAACCAUCUCAGCUUCAAAAGGCUCCACCAGCACAUCAAGUCUGACGCAUCAGCUCUCUUUAAUUUACUCGGUAAAGUUUAGCCUUCGGAGCCGCAUCCAGUGAAAGAUCGAUGACAGAUCAACGAAGAGAAGAUCCAUGGAGUAGAAAAUGAAGACAAGUGCGUGACUCAUUCACUGAUGGAAAAGCUUCUUUAAUUACAAAAAAGAUAGCUGAAGACAAUUACAUCCAAUCUACAAGCCAAAUCGAUCCAGUAGCUAGCUCAAGGUCGUCCGUAUCAGGGCUGGACAUAUAUAAUACUGCGCAUACAUUGUUUCUUGCAAAGCAAUUGCAUGCAUUCUUCAUCCCUGGCCAUGUGGACAAAGAAUUGCAAGAACAAUAAUGCUCCACAAUCAUUCUAAAAGCCGAUGUCAAAUUAUUAGUACCAGUGCUACUUUAACUUAAUUUCAUCUUACCUUUUUCCUUC